rnacentral:lncRNA from 1 species
UCGGUAUUAGGAUCUUGACAAUUCGGUAUACCGAAAUAUCGAAAAUUUUAAAAAUCAUGUAGGAGACUAGGAGUAGACUGCCCAGUGCCCAACGGUGGAGCUCAACCCAAAAGCCAAAAUUUUAAUUUUUGGAGCCCAACCCAAUAAUGAAUAACCCAAUAACCCAAAAGUCUUUCACUUUCUUACCCUCUUGUCUUACCCCCAUACCCUAGUUUACCCUAACAUCCUGAGAAACUUACGAACGACUGAGAAACCUAAGAAGUAAGAACGAACGACUCCUUACUGAAAAACUCAUAGAUCGGUUGUCCGCUGUCGCCUGUGAGAUCGCCAGAUCGGCUUUGGCCUGUGAGAACUGAUAUCGGCUGUCAACUCUUCAAAUCAAGACUUCAACAGGUUCAUAACUUUUCAAUUUUUUAUUCUCCAAUCUUUAUUUUUUUUGCACUAAUUUGUUCUGGAAUUGAUACUUCUCUGCUUUGCUUAUGUUGUGAAUACGAGUGACUCAUUUUGAUGACAUUGUUUGCUAGUUUGUGUGGUUUUUAUUACGUUCUUGAAUUCUUUUUUAUAAGUCCUUUGCUAUGUUUAUUUGUUUAAUUUAUUUAUCAUUAUGUUCGUACCUAUCAAAAAAGGAAGUUUGUUGCUAUGUUUAUCGGAUGUUUUAUAUGCAGAAGAUUUUUAUUUCAAUUUUUUUUUUUGGGAUUUGAUGAUGAAAGAGAUAAGGUAGGGAAGUGUUAGGGCCAAAAUUAACAACUAGUAAAAAAUAAAAAACUUGUGCAAGUUCUUCUUUUUUUCAAAUGAUCCCGGAAUUAAUGUGUAGGCAUAUCUAGAAAUUAGCCAGAUCUAACAACAGAUUUGAGAAUUAAACAUCAAAUUUGUCAUGAAGCUUACCCAAUCUUCAUUGGUUAUCAGUUACUUUGUUAUAUCUGCUUUGGCUAUCUGUUUUGCAAACACUUGUCUACCUUCCAAGAAACUUGCUUUAUUUGAAUAGAAGAAUAUGUAAAAUGAAGAAUGCCUUUAUAUGUGUUUAACAGAAAUAGAGGCAGCAAACAAAGAUUAACAGAAGGAAAGUUCUUUGACAAGAAAUUUGCUCCCUAAAAGAAGAUAACGGAGAAGUUCACAAAGUAGAGUGCAAGCAUUGUAGUCAAGUCUAUAAUGUUCAUCCUAAGAGGAAUGGAACAUCUGGUUUAAGGAAGCAUAUUAGGCGUUGUCUUCAGCGUCUUCCUGGAAUCUGUAUUUAAGAAUUAGAGUCUGUUGCUAUUGUUAAUUGACUUAAUUCUGUUGUUUUUGUUGCACUGCUGGUACUGUUAGACUAAUUCUGCAUUUCUGCUAUUGUUUGCACUGCUGGUAGCCUGGUACUGUUAGACUAAUUCUGCAUUUCUGCUACUGUUAAAAUUUGUUGCUAGUUGCUACUGUUAUUGCACUUGUUCUGUUAAUGCUGCUACAACAGGUCAGCACGUUAUUUUAAUAUUUUUAGUGCCAUCAAUGAUCAAUGUUGAAUGUUCAGAUGUUGUGGAAUUAAAUGGGUGUGAGGCUGUUGAAUGUUCAGCUCCUGGCACCUGCUGCCAAUAUAUUUGUUGAAUGUUCUUAAAUGUUGAAUGUUCAGCUCCUGCUGGAACCAAAUGGAAUCAAUUUUGAAUGUUCUGCUGCCAAUAUAUUUGUUCUAUAAAUUUGUUUAUCUAGCAUUUUCAAGAAAGAGAGGAGAUCAAAUUUCAUGUAAUUUGAUGAUCUUAAAUGACUGUCGGUUCAGCUCCUGCUGCAUAUUAUUAAGUCGAAAGCCUUGCGGCAAGUUUCCUUUUGACAAGAUUUUAUAUUGAAAAAGACUACUGCACCUGUGCUCAAAUAAUAUUAUCUACUUAAAAGAAUGGCCAAGGGCUGAUUGUUUCUUUGAGCCUCUAUAUUAUAGAAAGGAGGCUCAUGUGUAGUAGGAAGAUACAAAUUACAUAGAUAACUGUGACGACCCGGCCAGUCGUCUCAUGAGUUACCGCUCCGUUUUCCCCAUUUCUGCUUCUUUAUGCUUCGUUAUCCGUGUUUUAUGUGGUCGAGUGAAUUGGUUUGCGUUUGGUGUGGUUUUGGUAAGAAAUGAGACACUUAGUCUCUUUUAAGAAGGUUUAAGUUGGAAAAGUCAACCGGAUGUUGACUUAUGUGUUAGAAGGAUCGGAUGUGAGUUCCGAUGGUUCGGUUAGCUUCGGGAGGUGAUUUAUGACUUAGGAGUGUGAUCGGAAUUGGUUUUGGAGGUCCAGUGUAGAAUUAGACUUGAAUUGGCGAAGUUAAUAUUUUGGCGAUUUCCGGUUGAUAGGCGAGAUUUUGAUCCGAGGGUCGGAAUGGAAUUCCGAGAGUUUUUGUAGCUUUGUUAUAUCAUUUGUGAUGUGUGUGCAAAAUUUCAGGUCAUUCGGACGUGGUUUGGUUGAGGUUUUGAUCGAAAGCGUAUUUCGGAAGUUUUUAGAAAACUUAGGCUUGAAUUCGAUGUGAAUUGAUAGUUUUGGUGUUGUUUGAGGUGUUUUGAUGAUUGGAACAAGUUUGAAUAAGGUUUUAGGAUGUGUUGGUGCUUUUGGUUGAGGUCCCGGGGGCCUCGAGUGAGUUUCGGGUGGUCGAGAGGAAACUCGCGAUCGCGUAGAGUAAAUUGGGGUCCAAGUAAUUUCUUUAUCGCGUUCGCGUAAGGUCGUCCACGUUCGCUAAGGUAUGGGAGGCAGAAGCAUCACGUUUGCGACUGGGUUGAUGCGUUCGCGUAGAGCAAAAGUUUGUCAAUGAAAUUUUAUGCUUCGCGAUCGCGAGGAGUUGACCGCAUUCGCGAAGAAGGGAGGUCAGACCAGGGCAGAAAGUUUAUUAAACAUUUUAUUCGCGAUUUUGAGUCAUUUUUCCUCCAUAGUUGAGCAUUUUGAGAGCUUUUUGAAGGUGAUUAAAGAGGGAUUCAAGGAGAAUCAAUUGGAGGUAAGAUAUUUGAACCUAAAACGUGAUUCUAGUGUGAAAUUAACCUAGAAAUUCAUGGAACCUAAGCUAAAAAUGGAAGAACUAGGGCUUGGGAUUUUGAACUUUUAAAUUGGGAUUUGAAGGACCAUUUGAGGUCGGAUUUGAGAACUUUUGAUAUGUGUGAGCUCAUGGAGUGAUAAGGAAUCUAAUGAUGUGAAAAUUUCUGAGUUUCGAGAAGUGGGCUCGAGGCUCGGGUUUUGCUAAUUUCGGGAUUUUUGAUAUUUUUCGAUUGUUUUCGCUUGGGUUUUGUUCCCUUAGAAUAUUGUGACGUAUUUGUUUUGAUUUUGGAUAGAUUCGAUGCG